UGUCUUAUACACUUAGUUCUGCAUCUUUUGUUCUCCACUUCAAUGCUUAUAUACACAGGUGGUUUUUGAUCAUCAAAUUCAGCCGCAUAUGAGUGUACACUGCGUUUAUUCAGCAUGGCUGUGUCUUAUGGGAAAAUUUGCCAACUGUUUUUUGCCCACUCUUCAGUAUAUGCAGUGCUGCCAAGUCAAGUGGAAAAAGUGUCAAAUGUCUGUCCAUUCAUCUUCUUCAGGGCUCCUCUGUGAAACCAGACAGGAGCAAACCAAAGAAACAUGAGCCCCCUCUUCCCUCUCACCAUGUGCCUGAAUGAGAUACCAUAUGCAUCUUUUUUCAUUUUAUAUCUGUGAGCAAGAAUGAGUAGGGUGUGUCUCUGUCUCUGAAUGUGUGUGUGUGAGCAAACAUGCGCUGUCCACUGGGAACAACAUCCUGGUGCUGAUGAGUGUGACAAGGAAACUCCAGCAUCAGUGAUUUUGUUGCCAGAGGAGCGUCCCAACCAUUACGAUCAUCCUCUCGGUACGACUCAGUGCUGAUGAACUUUCUGCAUACAUAAAUAAGACAAUUUUGUCCACAUUAUCCACACAGAGACUGUCGGCAGACAAGUAGAGACAAGCUUCUCUACUCACUCCCAGUUUCUGAUUUAUUGGACUGUACAAAUGGAGUUAAUCAUCAUCCUUCCACAUGACCACUAGUGGGCACUAUAUACAGCUUACACUGUACUCUCAGUGAUGGACUCAAGAGGGCAUGGAAGCUCUCUUCUAACCUGUGUUUUAGCACCCUUAAUAAUGUCUACACCUUACAAUCUGAUGAGAUUAACCAAACCUGUGGACAAAUGCCCAUUGAGAUAUUCUAAUUUCCAGUCCUGCAAAUUUCCAGCAUAGUGGCUGCAUUUCUUAGGUUGUGUCUGUCCUUGAUCAGCAUUUUCCCAGCAUGUACUGGUGUUAACUUUUAUCAUCUCUUUUGUUUUUUUCCCCUCUAGUAUUCUGUUUUGGCUCAGUUUUUGAGCAAUCAUACUUCAUCAUUGUGAACCGAAAUUCCAUUUACCCUAGAAACUUUAUAUUUAAAAUAAAACUAUGACAUUGCAAAUAUCCCAGUUUAUAAUUCUGUCCUUGCAGUAAUCUUUAAUAAUUAUAAUUACACAAUUAUGUUCAUGAAUAAUUACUAUGGACUAUUCCAUGGCUGCAGUGGAGCUAACAUGUAUAGUAUAUUGUUAGCAAUGUGUGGAAUAUAAGUAUAUUUCUGGUUUAACCUGGUCCUGGAGUUGAUUGUUUAGGACCUUCCUUGGUCUACUUCUUUGUUGCAGCAUUAUGUAAAGCACAAUUUAAAAAAGUCAACAUAGGUUGACUGAAAUAUAAUGAUUCAGUAAUUAAUCUUAACUUAUUGUGAUAAUGUAUGGUUUUAUUUUAAAGUAUUACCUUAUUUACAGAUAACAAUUUUAAACAGUGUGACUGCAUCCUGUAGCUGUAAAACCCAGUCAGUGAGCAGGUAAAGAGGGAAUUAGUCAGAGAAGUAAUCAAGAGACCAAAAGUUCCGUUCAACAUGGGAUCUAUUUAACAUCACUACCUUGCUUCAAUGUGGGGAAGGUGUUUUGGGGAUAAUGAGCAGUGUUGGGUUUCCGCAAAAUAUAUACAGUAUAGUGCUUUGUGCCAAGGCCAGAAAGCUUGGUCUCAUCAGACCAGAUCCAUAUUUUUGUGGAGUCUCCAACAUUCCUUUUGGUAAACUUGAAAAGGGAUUUGAUAAGACUUUCACAAAGCCCAGAUUUGAGUUUCCCUGGGCUUCCCGUUGUAGAUUCUUGACAAAUCACAAUUAAAUCUAUUUCAGUUCCAGGUCACAGCUCCUUUGUGACCUUACAUACAAAAAUGUAGUAACUACAUUACAAUACAUUACUAACUGCAGCCCAUCUGUUACUAUACAUACCUUCUAUCCCAUUCAUAGACUGAAAUGAAACACCAAUGAUAGAGCAUGUUCACCACUUAUUGUACUUAAAAUCUAGCAUUCAAUCUCAUGAAGGUUUGCUGGUCAUGUGCAUGACUGAUGCUACAUAGUUAAUCAGAGGUAAAAUAUCAUGUAAAUAACCCAUGUUUAACAUUAGCUAGAAGCUCAUUUCCUACCUAGCCAGUAACUAUUAGAAUCAAUCCCAAUCUAACCUGGCAUUAGCAAUGAAAACAGGCUAACUUACUUUAUAUAUUUACUGAGGUAUGGCCAGGGGCACUCAUUCUCAAGUUCAACAUUGCAGCCCGGUUGGUUAUCCAUAUUAUCAACAGCUUAUCCUGGUGGCAAACUGACAGCUAUAGCAUUAACUACAUUGCCUAGAGUGAAAAGGUCUUCUUUUAUAGUUUUUUAAAUUCAUUAAUUUAUUUACAUUUACACAUUUAUAAACAUGACUGAAUUCUUUUAACUGAAAUGUAAAUAAAAUGAAUGGGAGCCCAUUCUAGUUAUGUAUACAGUCAUUGGAGAUGAGAGAUGAGAGAAGAAGAGACCUUUGAGAUUUGUAGAUGUACUUAGUACUUAGAUGUACCAGUACUUAGAAGGUUUAAAUAAAAAUGUAAGAAGUAAAAAAGUUUUUUUGUUCUUGAAAGUGUAAUUAAGUAAGAGUACAGGUAUUAAAAUCCAAUAACACUCAAGUAAAGUAUCAAUAACAAAGUACAAUUCCUCCCUGUCUGUUGUGUGAGUUGCACCUGUUCACAUGGCCAGGAGAUAAUACUGUGGAAGAACCAGUUACUCUGGACAUUAUAAACAAAUUUAAUAGGCACUACCUUUGCCAAUUAAGGAGGGAUCCAGACGAAGACUUAGUUUAGUUGAGUGUCAGCAGUUUUUACAGUAAAGCUAGCUUGAAUAUGAUAAUUCUGUCACUGUUUAGAGAGGUUGUUUGGACCACUCCUUACAAGUGGUGUGUUUGUGUGUGUGUGUGUGUGUUUGUUUGCAGGGUGUGGGGAGAGAAGGGGUGGAAGUCAAAGACACCUGUUAGGCAAAGAGAUGUUAAUCCACAGGAUAGAAAAACAGAAGAUUAGGUCUGCCCAAAAAAACCCCAAAACCCUCUGUGCUCACACACUGAUGACUGACCGGGAAAUUCUCCACUCCUCAUUUCUCUCUGAGAAAGCAUCACAAGAUCUUCAUCUGCUAGUCUGCCCAGAGUUUUUUAGGCAUGUGUACAUCUGCGUCUCUGUGUGUGUGUGUGUGUGUGUGUGUGUGUGUGUGUGUGUGUGUGUGUGUGUGUGUGUGUGUUGCUUUUCUGACUUCGUCACAGCACCAAUUGAGUCAUCGUUCUGUAUGCUAUCUGAGUCACCCAUUUCAGGGUUGCCUAGUGACCAUGACAGGGGAAAAUGUUUCCUUUUGCGUAGUUGCUGAUGCUUGGUACCAAUAUUUAUUCAAGAUCUGUUCUGAGAGAGCAGGAGAAAACCAGAGAUUAUCUGUGACAGGAUGAAUGUUCUUCCAUGCAGGAAAAAAAAAGAGCUUACUGACUAUUUUUGUACUUUUCCGGCUUUUCAUAGUUACUUAAUCUGGUCCUUGGUGCUUAAUGGAAGUAGCGCUGACCAGAAGAGGCUUGGCAAUGCAAUCUCUCAGGAGGUCACUGGUCAUUGAUUACUAGUGGUUUCAUAGUAUUUGAAUUGCUUUGCUGUCUUUCAGUUAGAUACAUUCGGGUAUCUAAAAUUCAUUAAACCUCUGCUGAGUGUCCCCAAGACAGACUGACCUCUAGAACAAAGCCAAUCCAGUAAUGUCAUUAUAUGGCCAUUGUUUUUGCACCAAUGAGCACAUCAGUUAUUCUACAUAUACAACAUUGUCCUAUAUAUAAUUAGGUGAUUUCACCCAUUAGCAUGCACUUGUCCCCUUUACCACCCAUGACUAAAAAUUUGGAUGUGCCACUGGAUACGAUACUUCAAUUAAGUCAAUAGCUAGAUUUACAUUAUUUGCAGGUUAUUAUAUAUAGUUUUCCGCUUUUCCACUUGAUUUCAUCCUUCUUUUGUUGCGUUCAACAAUACAUACAUAUGCUGUUCAAUCAACUCAACUUGUUUCACUUAAUCUAUGUUAAGAAACCAUAAUGUGCUGUAUCAUAAUCCAACCAACGACCUAAAUAAACACUCUGUGGUCAUUUGAAGCCUCUAGAUACAAGCAUAUUUGAGACAUAAUCUUCUAGUGAAAUUUUUGCAUUAAGAGCACAUCAGUAGUCUAAUAGUAGUGAUAAAGUGCUUUAAAAAAAUCAAUAUACAAAUCAUGUAAGGGGAGCACGGUGGCUUAGCGGUUAGCACGUUUACCUCACACCUCCAGGGUUGGUUCCCGCCACCACCCUUUAUGUGCUGAGUUUGCAUGUUUUACCUGUGCUUCAAGCUUUUCCCCGGGUACUCCGGAUUCCUCCCCCCCCAGUCCAAAUACAUUAGUUUUAGGCUAUAUGCCAAUUCCAAAUUGUGUGUGAUUGUGCCCUGCGAUGGGUUGGCACAUCGUCCAGGGUGCGCCCCGCCUUGUGCCCCGAGUCCCCUGGGAUAGGCUCCAGGAUCCCCAUGACCCUGUAUAGAAAAUAUGUAUGUAGGUAAUAAAUAUAAUUCUAUUAUUAUUCAUAGUAUAUCUACACUCAUUGUGUAAUAUUUUAGUACCUUGCCAAGCAUACUAAAGAUUUACAUACAUAUACAUUUACAUACACCUAGAUUUAUACAUAUCAUUGUCCUUUUUGACAAAAAUACUGGUCCCAUUGACCUGUCUUAUAAUCCAUAUGAGCAGACUUUUCUUCAGGGACCCACUUAACCACAGAAUAUGCACAGGGUUUGCUCUGUGGUAUAAGGCUUGAGAUAAUUAUCCAAAGCACAUUGCCACUGGGCUUCUGAAUAUGUUAAGCAAAUGUGUGGUAACUGGACAACGCAUUUGUGUUCAAGGGAAAGAGAGCGACAGAUGCUUUAAUGAUUUUAGUCGAUGCAUUUCACGGUCAUCCAGCUUAGGCCUGCUGACAUAACAGGCCAUUAUUAUUUUCCUCUCAUUUGGGUAGCUUCUGGCUCAUGGAAAAAGUGACUUAUCUGCCUCAUCCACCUUUUAUGACGGUGCAUGAAGCAGACUUUAAUGCCUUGGUUCCUGGCUGAGCUCUCGUCCACUGAGAGCAGAAGAGGUGUAAUGAUGUCAGAGGCAGUAUGACAUCAAUGAGUGGCCCAUGGAGCAUCUGUUAUUAUCAGUGGACAUAACAGUCAAGCAUAUGUAAGGGUUUGACUAUAUUUUGAAUUUAUUGUUGCACUCUGUAAAUCAGUGGUUCAGGUAUUUUUGUUUAGUAUUGCCAAUUAUGAUAUGUUUUAAUUCAUAACACAAUUGUAAUAACAUAAGUAUGGUUACACAAUAAAAUAAGUAUGGUUAAAUUUA